rnacentral:rRNA from 1 species
AUUGAACGCUGGCGGCAGGCUUAACACAUGCAAGUCGAGCGAGCGGCGGACGGGUGAGUAAUUUCUGGGAAACUGCCUGAUGGAGGGGGAUAACUACUGGAAACGGUAGCUAAUACCGCAUACCAUCAGAUGUGCCCAGAUGGGAUUAGCUCGUAGGUGGGGUAAUUGCUCACCUAGGCGACGAUCCCUACCUGGUAUGAGAGGAGGACCAGCCAACGUGGAACUGAGACACGGUCCAGACUCCUACGGGAGGGAGCAGUGGGGAAUAUUGCACAAUGGUCGCAAGCCUGAUGCAGCCAGGCCGCGUGGGUGAAGAAGGCCUUCGGGUUGUAGAGCACUUUCAGCGAGAAGGCGUUACUCGCAGAAGAAGCACCGGCUAACUCCGUGCCAGCAGCCGCGGUAAUAC